rnacentral:rRNA from 1 species
GAUGAACGCUAGCGGCAGGCUUAACACAUGCAGGUCGAGGGGCAGCGGGGUCUUCGGACCGCCGGCGACCGGCGCACGGGUGCGUAACGCGUAUGCAACCUACCUUUCACAGGGGGAUAAUCCGGAGAAAUCUGGUCUAAUACCCCAUAACACAUUUUACGGCAUCGUAGAUUGUUGAAAUUUUCGGAGGUGAAAGAUGGGCAUGCGUGACAUUAGCUAGAUGGUGAGGUAACGGCUCACCAUGGCAACGAUGUCUAGGGGGACUGAGAGGUUAACCCCCCACACUGGUACUGAGACACGGACCAGACUCCUACGGGAGGCAGCAGUGAGGAAUAUUGGUCAAUGGUCGGAAGACUGAACCAGCCAAGUCGCGUGAGGGAAGACAGCCCUAUGGGUUUUAAACCUCUUUUGUAAUGGAAGAAUAAGUCUUACGUGUAGGACGAUGCCAGUACAUUACGAAUAAGCAUCGGCUAUCUCCGUGCCAGCCGCCGCUGUAACAC